ensembl:lncRNA
ACAUGAUGGUGAUCAUAAUACCUUCCCUAAAACGUCGUGGUGAGGACCAAAUGAGCUGGGUAAGGGCUAGCACCAUCCUCAGCAUGUGUCAAUAGGAGGUGGGCGCUGCUCCAGGAAGGCAGGCGGCAGCUGCUCCAGGAAGGCAGGCGGCAGCUGCUCCAGGAAGGCAGGCGGCAGGUACAUGGAUCACAGUGGAGUCUGUGAUGCAGACCUCCCACUCAACAUGUCCCCGACCGUCUGCUCUGCCCUGCUAGGUGGACCACAGGAAGGCUGCUCUUCCUCCAGCCAUCACACGGGGCAUGCUGCCCAGCAGGGGGAGUUCAGGGGGGAUCUUCUCUCCCACUGGCCCCCUGGGCUGGGGGCCUUUGUUCUGUUCAUGGAAAGGGCUACAGCCCUCCCGCCAGAAAACAUGUGGAAUCCCACCGGCUGUUCCCUCACAGUAUAUUCAACACUCAGCAGCUUCUCACCACCCCACCGUGGCCACCCAGCCCCAGCUCCUCUUAGACCUCACAUCCCAUUCAUCUGCACAGCCUGCCUGAAAAUAUACCUCGAGUUCUUUCAGUCACUCCUCAAACUGGGCCUGAGUUGUGUCAUCUUUUCCUGACUGUUCACGGGUCUAGAUGUUUCCUCACUGGCCUUCACUGGUGAUGCUGCUACCUUUAUCACACACACACCACCUGCCAUAUACACUCACAGAUGCACACACACACACAGCUCCUCCAUCACUGUGCAUGGCUUUAUGCACAGCACCUCCCCCACAGGGUCCCCCAUCCCCACCUCGCUUCUCAGUACUGCAGCCAGACUUAAAUCCCAAGUGGGUCAUGCCAUCCCAUUUCACUCAGAGUCAAAGCCAAGGUCCUUACAGGGGUCUGCCCAGCACCCUGUGGCCUCCACCACAGCCCUCUGCACCGGUUCCUCUCUCGCCUGGAACACUCCUCGCUUCUCCUCCAGCUCCCCACAUCUCCUCCUUCCUCCCCAGUGCUCCUCCUGCCCCGUGGCUGACUUUCCUCCCCAGCACUUCCCACCUCCCAGCAUUGUUUACUUCUUUAUCCCUCUGCUGGCCUCGGUCACCAGAAUGUAUAUGAGAGGAGGACAAGGGUCUGUGUCCCCUGCCCCAGCCCUGCCGUGGAGAGCAGUGCCUGGCACCUGGAUGCUUUCAGUGAAUAUCUGUUGAAAGAUUCACGGAGGAUUGUGGGACCGCACACGCAUAGUGUCUUCAUCAUUACAGAACUGUCCCGAAUUGAAAUUUGACUGCCAC